GUCAGGAUGGCCGAGCGGUCUAAGGCGCCAGACUCAAGGUUUAAACCUUACCCGUCUUCGACGGGUGUCCCGAGGCUUCUGGUCCUCUCUGAGGGCGUGGGUUCGAAUCCCACUUCUGACA
rnacentral:tRNA from 1 species